rnacentral:rRNA from 1 species
CCUACGGGAGGCAGCAGUGGGGAAUAUUGCACAAUGGGGGAAACCCUGAUGCAGCGACGCCGCGUGAGUGAAGAAGUAAUUCGUUAUGUAAAGCUCUAUCAGCAGGGAAGAAAAUGACGGUACCUGAGUAAGAAGCCCCUGCUAACUACGUGCCAGCAGCCGCGGUAAUACGUAGGGGGCAAGCGUUAUCCGGAUUUACUGGGUGUAAAGGGAGCGUAGACGGCAGUGCAAGUCUGGAGUGAAAUGCGGGGGCGCAACCCCCGGACUGCUCUGGAAACUGUACGGCUGGAGUGCAGGAGAGGUAAGUAGAAUUCCUAGUGUAGCGGUGAAAUGCGUAGAUAGUAGGAGGAACACCAGUGGCGAAGGCGGCUUACUGGACUGUAACUGACGUUGAGGCUCGAAAGCGUGGGGAGCAAACAGGAUUAGAUACCCCAGUAGUC